rnacentral:rRNA from 1 species
UACGGGGGGGGCAAGCGUUGUUCGGAAUUACUGGGCGUAAAGGGUGCGUAGGCGGGUCUUUAAGUCAGGGGUGAAAUCCUGGAGCUCAACUCCAGAACUGCCUUUGAUACUGAAGAUCUUGAGUUCGGGAGAGGUGAGUGGAACUGCGAGUGUAGAGGUGAAAUUCGUAGAUAUUCGCAAGAACACCAGUGGCGAAGGCGGCUCACUGGACCGGUACUGACGCUGAUGCGCGAAAGCGUGGGGAGCAACGGG